AAAAAGUUUUGCUUUGGCUUAAAAUUAGGGUUUUUCAAUUUUGUGCAUGCAAGUUUUAGCCAACCUAUAAGAACUGUUAGCUAAAAGCAUUUUAAUAAUUGAGAUAACAAUUAUCUAUCUUAUAAGCAGUACAAAUUUUUAUUAAAAUAGUGAAAACUGGUAAAAACAAAAGAAAAAAUGGGUGGAAAAAAUUGUGCCAGCAUCCGCGGUUACACAAUUAACCCAAACUUUAAUUACUAGGUAGAAUGGUCAAAAAUUAAGAAAGAACUUAACCUAGGUACAAUAAUAAUAAACUUUCCAAACUUUCAUAUUUUAAAACCAUGAAAGUUUUAUUUAGAACUAGGAUUAGACACCCUACUACUACUAACCGUAAAAAUCCACCAGGGCAUUAAAAGAAGAACUUAAAACCUAAAGAGCUUGGCGGUCUUCUAUAACACCAGGGGAGCUUGUCACAGAAACGAUAAUCCGCGAUAAGACAAACCUUUUCUUGAACUUCAGUUCGUAUACCUCCGUCCAGUUAAUCUCUAAAAGAAUUAGCAUUUGAAUUAUUUCACAACGUCAGGUCAAGGUACAACUAAUGAAAAGGAGUUGGUGAGCUACUUUAUGAACAUUAAUAAAUUUUUUAUUUUAAAAUAAAAAUGAAAUAGUACUUGGUAGUAAUUUAACUUUAACAUAGAAAAAUGAAAUAAACCUAGAAGAUGUACAAAUCGCCCGUCGUUCCCCCCAAAAGGGGGGAAAAGUCGUAACAAAGUAGUUGUACUUGAAAGUGUAUCU
rnacentral:ncRNA from 1 species